GGACCUGGUGGCCAUUGCGAGGGCCCUACACCCGAUCCCUUCCCGAACUCGGCCGUGAAAUCCCUCAGCGCCUAUGAUACUGCACCUCAAGGUGCGGAAAAGUCGGUCGCCGCCAGGUCC
rnacentral:rRNA from 1 species